AGAGUUUGAUCCUGGCUCAGGAUGAACGCUGGCGGCGUGCCUAAUACAUGCAAGUCGAGCGAACGGACGAGAAGCUUGCUUCUCUGAUGUUAGCGGCGGACGGGUGAGUAACACGUGGAUAACCUACCUAUAAGACUGGGAUAACUUCGGGAAACCGGAGCUAAUACCGGAUAAUAUUUUGAACCGCAUGGUUCAAAAGUGAAAGACGGUCUUGCUGUCACUUAUAGAUGGAUCCGCGCUGCAUUAGCUAGUUGGUAAGGUAACGGCUUACCAAGGCAACGAUGCAUAGCCGACCUGAGAGGGUGAUCGGCCACACUGGAACUGAGACACGGUCCAGACUCCUACGGGAGGCAGCAGUAGGGAAUCUUCCGCAAUGGGCGAAAGCCUGACGGAGCAACGCCGCGUGAGUGAUGAAGGUCUUCGGAUCGUAAAACUCUGUUAUUAGGGAAGAACAUAUGUGUAAGUAACUGUGCACAUCUUGACGGUACCUAAUCAGAAAGCCACGGCUAACUACGUGCCAGCAGCCGCGGUAAUACGUAGGUGGCAAGCGUUAUCCGGAAUUAUUGGGCGUAAAGCGCGCGUAGGCGGUUUUUUAAGUCUGAUGUGAAAGCCCACGGCUCAACCGUGGAGGGUCAUUGGCAACUGGAAAACUUGAGUGCAGAAGAGGAAAGUGGAAUUCCAUGUGUAGCGGUGAAAUGCGCAGAGAUAUGGAGGAACACCAGUGGCGAAGGCGACUUUCUGGUCUGUAACUGACGCUGAUGUGCGAAAGCGUGGGGAUCAAACAGGAUUAGAUACCCUGGUAGUCCACGCCGUAAACGAUGAGUGCUAAGUGUUAGGGGGUUUCCGCCCCUUAGUGCUGCAGCUAACGCAUUAAGCACUCCGCCUGGGGAGUACGACCGCAAGGUUGAAACUCAAAGGAAUUGACGGGGACCCGCACAAGCGGGGGAGCAUGUGGUUUAAUUCGAAGCAACGCGAAGAACCUUACCAAAUCUUGACAUCCUUUGACAACUCUAGAGAUAGAGCCUUCCCCUUCGGGGGGCAAAGUGACAGGUGGUGCAUGGUUGUCGUCAGCUCGUGUCGUGAGAUGUUGGGUUAAGUCCCGCAACGAGCGCAACCCUUAAGCUUAGUUGCCAUCAUUAAGUUGGGCACUCUAAGUUGACUGCCGGUGACAAACCGGAGGAAGGUGGGGAUGACGUCAAAUCAUCAUGCCCCUUAUGAUUUGGGCUACACACGUGCUACAAUGGACAAUACAAAGGGCAGCGAAACCGCGAGGUCAAGCAAAUCCCAUAAAGUUGUUCUCAGUUCGGAUUGUAGUCUGCAACUCGACUACAUGAAGCUGGAAUCGCUAGUAAUCGUAGAUCAGCAUGCUACGGUGAAUACGUUCCCGGGUCUUGUACACACCGCCCGUCACACCACGAGAGUUUGUAACACCCGAAGCCGGUGGAGUAACCUUUUAGGAGCUAGCCGUCGAAGGUGGGACAAAUGAUUGGGGUGAAGUCGUAACAAGGUAGCCGUAUCGGAAGGUGCGGCUGGAUCACCU
rnacentral:rRNA from 1 species